rnacentral:rRNA from 1 species
AGCAGCCGCGGUAAUUCCAGCUCCAAUAGCGUAUAUUAAAGUUGUUGCAGUUAAAAAGCUCGUAGUUGAAUUUCGGGAUCAAUAUGUCGGUCGUGCCUUCGGUACGUACUGGUAUCAUUGGUCUCUCCUUUCUGACGAACCAUGAUGUCAUUAAUUUGGUGUUAUGGGGAGUUAGGACUGUUACUUUGAAAAAAUUAGAGUGUUUAAAGCAGGCUUUAGCUUGAAUACAUUAGCAUGGAAUAAUGAAAUAGGACGUUCGAACCUAUUUUGUUGGUUUCUAGGAUCAACGUAAUGAUUAAUAGGGAUAGUUGGGGGCAUUAGUAUUCAAUUGUCAGAGGUGAAAUUCUUGGAUUUAUUGAAGACUAACUACUGCGAAAGCAUUUGCCAAGGAUGUUUUCAUUAAUCAAGAACGAAAGUUAGGGGAUCGAAGACGAUCAGAUACCGUCGUAGUCUUAACCAUAAACUAUGCCGACUAGGGAUCGGAUGAUGUUAAUUU